UGACGCAGCGACGCCGCGUGAGCGAAGAAGGCCUUCGGGUUGUAAAGCUCUGUCUAGGGGGAAGAUAGUGACGGUACCCCUGGAGGAAGCCCCGGCUAACUACGUGCCAGCAGCCGCGGUAA
rnacentral:rRNA from 1 species